CGCGUCGUCACGCGCCGUGGAGGGUGCUGGGCAGGCGGAGCCCGGGGACUAGAGUAGCGAAAUCGGACCGCCGCCUCCCCAAGUCUCGCGUGAUCACGUGGUUGGCGCCCAGGCGGAAGUUUGCGGCAACUCGUUUGGGAUGAGGCGCUUGCAGACCCUUCCCGGAAAGGAAUUUCGAGGGAUGUGGAAUAUAGUCUGAACAAGUGAGAUCGUUUAGCCUCAAAAGGAAGCAAAACAAAAUGUGAAAAGUUCUAUGCUGCUGAAACCAGAUUUGAAGAAUAUCAAAGAUUGGCCCUGAGCUAAUAUUCGCCAUCAAUCCUCCUCUUUUUGCUGAGGAAGACUGGCCCUGAGCUAACAUCUGUGUCCAUCUUCCUCUAUUUUAUAUGUGGGACACCUGCCACAGCAUGGCUUGACAAGUGGUGCAUAG
rnacentral:lncRNA from 1 species